rnacentral:rRNA from 1 species
CGCAGCUGAUGCAGCAUGCGCGUGUAUGACGAUGCUUCGGGUUGUAAGUACUUUCAGCGAGGAGGACGCAGUAAGUUAUACCUUGCUCAUUGACGUUACUCGCAGAAGAGCACCGGCUAACUCCGUG